rnacentral:tRNA from 1 species
GGGGCUGUGGAUCAGUGGUAGAGCGCUUGCCUAGCAUGCAUGAGGCCCUAGGUUUGAUCCUCAGCACCCCA